GGGGAUUUGGCUCAGUGGUAGAGCGCUUGCCUAGUAAGCGCAAGGCCUUGGGCAAGGCCCUGGGUUCGGUCCCCAGCUCCG
rnacentral:tRNA from 1 species